AGGGAAUAUUGCGCAAUGGAGGAAACUCUGACGCAGCGACGCCGCGUGAGCGAUGAAGGUCUUCGGAUCGUAAAGCUCUGUCCUUGGGGAAGAAGGUCUUCGGACUUGACGGUACCCAAGGAGGAAGCCCCGGCUAACUACGUGCCAGCAGCCGCGGUAAUACGUAGGGGGCAAGCGUUGUCCGGAAUUAUUGGGCGUAAAGGGUGCGCAGGCGGCCUUUUAAGUCAGGUGUGAAAGCCCACGGCUUAACCGUGGGAUUGCAUUUGAAACUGGAGGGCUUGAGUAUCGGAGAGGGUAGUGGAAUUCCCAGUGUAGCGGUGAUAUGCGUAGAUAUUGGGAGGAACACCAGUGGCGAAGGCGACUACCUGGACGAUUACUGACGCUCAUGCACGAAAGCUAGGGGAGCAAAC
rnacentral:rRNA from 1 species